rnacentral:rRNA from 1 species
GAGUUUGAUCGUGGCUCAGAAUCAACGCUGGCGGCGUGCCUAACACAUGCAAGUCGAACGAGAAAGGGACUUCGGUCCUGAGUAUAGUGGCGCACGGGGUGAGUAACACGUGAAUGAUCUACCUCCGAGUGGGGAAUAACUAAGAGAAAUCUUAGCUAAUACCGCAUAACACUUACGAGUCAAAGCAGCAAUGCGCUUGGAGAGGAGUUCGCGGCAGAUUAGUUAGUUGGCGGGGUAAUGGCCCACCAAGACGAUGAUCUGUAUCCGGCCUGAGAGGGCGCACGGACACACUGGAACUGAAACACGGUCCAGACUCCUACGGGAGGCAGCAGUGGGGAAUUUUGCGCAAUGGGGGAAACCCUGACGCAGCAACGCCGCGUGGAGGAUGAAGUAUCUUGGUACGUAAACUCCUUUCGAUGGGGAAGAUAAUGACGGUACCCAUAGAAGAAGCCCCGGCUAACUUCGUGCCAGCCGCCGCAGU